rnacentral:lncRNA from 1 species
UCCUUGACAAAUUGCAUCAAGUGCUAGUACAGAAGUUCCUCGAGGAAUCAUUAUCUUUCAAAUCCAAAUAGACGCAUUUGAUCAAACUAAACAUAACCCUUAAACUCAAAAAAUUAGAACGGAAUAUAUUCACAUAACUUAUGUCACAUAGAAAACAUUCAAAAUUGGACGACAUGAUGAUGACUAUGAUAAUGUAAUAUGCAGUUCAUCAAAAUUAAACCUUUUCAUAUCAAAUAAAGUAGCUUAAUUCCUAUUAAACAUAUGCUCCUCUAUCGCAAUUUGAAUAUUUUCAUAGUUAUCAUCAAAAAAACGUUCAUAUUAUUGUUGUUGGUGUGGCUCAUUCUCGUAUAUUUCUUCUUCAUCGGCUUCAUCCAUGUCAUUCAUAAAUGCAGAGUCCCAGAAAUUGAAUCAAACAACGCUUAUAUUCAGAUGUGUUCCUGGGCUUUCCAAUCUAAGAUUUAUCCAUCUAAAUAUAUUAAGAACUAAUUGCAACAUAAUUAAGAGUUCAAAGUCAGAUUAUCAAAGAGCUAAAGGGUUGUCUUUUGGUGCAUCAAGAUAUGAUAGGUUAGACGGAGAGAAAUUGCAUUCUGUCCUAGCCUUUCCUAUUCGAUGAAAUCAAACAUCAAAUAGUACAACAACAACAACAACAACAUACCCAAUGUAUCCCAUAUAGUGGGGUCUGAGGAGGGUAGAGUGUACGCGAUCUAUACCACUACCUACGAAGAAGUAGAGAGGUUGUUUUCGAUAGACCCUUAGUUUAGGAAUAUGUUUAAUAAAUAAAUAAAUAAAUAAAUAAAUAAAGCAGAAUACAGACUAGAUUUGAUGCAAAUUUAGAAGAUUCAACUUUUUCCUUCAAGUUAUUUUUCUCCUAUUACUCACCAGUUAUUGACCAAUUGGUUUUUCUAGAUCACUAUCGAUCAAAUUGACUUUCCAAGACAACACACAGUGAGUGAUCUCCAACAACCCCCAUCCCCACCCCACCCCUCAUAAAUAAAGAAAUGAUAUGUCUUAAUAAACAAGCACUAAUAAAUGAUGAAUUUCUUGUUGUGCACCCUCCCAGCUAGUCGCAAGAGUCAGCAAAAGUAUGUUAUUGAUGCACCCUACAUAUCAUGCUUUAGUGUAACAGGGCUACUGUGACAGAUACAUGCCAUUAUACAUUUGAUUAUCGUAAUUCACCUAAACAGUAUCCUGUAAGAGUGAAGGCAAGCAUUCAAUAAGCAGAAAAGAGUUAUGAAAAGAUAUUCAUUUUGCCAUACCUCAAAGCAAAAAUGACCACUCUCAUCAGUAAGUUUCACCUGAGGUUUGACGUUUUGCGGAUCAUGAGUCAGAGCUACCUGCUUGCACAUAACCAUUUGCUAGAAGAUCACAAAAAUAUAAAAAAAACUGUAAAUCUUUUCUAUGUUCUGACCAUAAAACUAGACAUAUAACAACUUGAGAUAGGUGUAUGAUACUGCCUGGUAAGGAAGUAAAAAACUAGUACCAAGCCACUAAAACAUACCAAUCAAACUCAUUUGACAUAACAUUAUCACUGUAUAAUGACUAACAGUAUCUCCAAAAAGUGAACUCACUACUCAUAAAGAAAAAUGUCAUAUUAUACAGAAAUGUCCAACCAACAUAACAAACUAAUUUUAGAUUUGAACUAUGUCUCAUGUGCAAAACGUCAAUAUGAAAAAAAAAGACACCAAUAACCUAAGAAAGUUGCAAGUUCGAUAGAAGAACAUAAGAGAAAAAUGUGAAACAGUAAGUUUAGGAAAUUAAAAAUAAAAACAAAAAAAGCUACCUAAUGGAGAUUCAAUCAAGCACCACCAGCUAACUCAUCUUGAGUCCAACCAUUUGCAAUAAUAAUACUCACUGAAAUCCCACUAGCGAGGCUUAGGGAGUGUCGAGUGUACGUAGAUCAUUAUCACUACCUCACAAAAUCUUUACAACAAUGCUUCAAAUAAAUAAAUUUUUCUCCACAAACUCAAGAUUAACAGUAACCCAAACAAAUAAAGGUUCUAUUUUCCCCCCUUUUUUUGCACCUAAAUCAUUUUCACCACCAAACAGAAUAACCCCAUCAAUUAAAGAUUCCAUUUUUAUCCUUUUUUUGCAAUUAAAUCAAAACAAACAAGAGAGUAAUUUGUUGACAACACAAGAAAAAAGCACAAUAUGCAAAUUAUUUACAUAGCUGAUACCUCAAAUAUUUCAGCUAAAAUUAUCUGACUAGAUGUCGCCGCUGCUGACUACCGCAGUCGCCGGAGAACUGGAAUCGCCGGAGAGAGGUCUGGUCGGUGAGGGACGGAUUAUUGAAGAAAGGAAAGAAGGCUUUUGAGAAAAAUUGAUAUAUUCACGGGUUUAUUUCACUGCCCCAAAAUUAUUUGCGGUUUAUUUUUUUAAGUAUAGCGGGGGUUCAACCGCAUCAAAAUAUUCACGAUUUAUUUAAUGAUAGCGAGGGUUUUAACCUCCCCAAUUGUAAUUAAAAUAAUAGGGAUAUACAAACCCCCGCAAUUUGAUAUAUUUGUGGAGGUUAAUACCGAUCCCCCAAUUAAACCUCCACAAAAUACACCUUUUUUUGGUAAUGAAGAAUGGAAACCUUGACC